rnacentral:rRNA from 1 species
UACGAAGGGGGCUAGCGUUGUUCGGAAUUACUGGGCGUAAAGCGCACUAGGCGGAUAUUUAAGUCAGGGGUGAAAUCCCAGAGCUCAACUCUGGAACUGCCUUUGAUACUGGGUAUCUUGAGUAUGGAAGAGGUGAGUGGAAUUCCGAGUGUAGAGGUGAAAUUCGUAGAUAUUCGGGAGGAACACCAGUGGCGAAGGCGGCUCACUGGUCCAUUACUGACGCUGAGGUGCGAAAGCGUGGGGAGCAAACAGG